rnacentral:lncRNA from 1 species
ACAUAAGCAAUAUUUUUUAGUUUUUCUUGCCACGUCAGCGUCACGUAAACAAAAAUCUAACAUGUGUCAACUUUUUUUAACGGAAUGACUCAAUUUGAAAAUAAAAAUUAGUUCAGUGACUUAAUUUGAAAAAUUAAAAGUUCAAUCGGGUAUUCAGUAAAACGUGCCAAUUUUGGUGGCCAAAUCAUUAGUUUUGCCUUAAAUCAAUCAAGUACAACAAUCUUUUCUUCAUUGAACCGGUACACACUUGGGCGAUCGGAAGAGCCGUCGGAAAACCUCCCACCGGAACCUGGCGAUGG